rnacentral:rRNA from 1 species
CACUCCUACGGGGCAGCAGUGGGGAAUAUUGCACAAUGGGCGCAAGCCUGAUGCAGCCAUGCCGCGUGUAUGAAGAAGGCCUUCGGGUUGUAAAGUACUUUCAGCAGUGAGGAAGGUGGGUAUGUUAAUAGCAUACUCAUUUGACGUUAGCUGCAGAAGAAGCACCGGCUAACUCCGUGCCAGCAGCCGCGGUAAUACGGAGGGUGCGAGCGUUAAUCGGAAUUACUGGGCGUAAAGCGCAUGCAGGUGGUUUGUUAAGUCAGAUGUGAAAGCCCGGGGCUCAACCUCGGAAUUGCAUUUGAAAACUGGCAAACUAGAGUACUGUAGAGGGGGUAGAAUUUCAGGUGUAGCGGUGAAAUGCGUAGAGAUCUGAAGGAAUACCGGUGGCGAAGGCGGCCCCCUGGACAGAUACUGACACUCAGAUGCGAAAGCGUGGGGAGCAAACAGGAUUAGAUACCCUGGUAG